UAGUGCCAGACUUGUCAAGUGUGGCUUGGCCAUCACACUCAGCUAUAGAACCAGAACAUUCGUUUCUCUCCUGAGGAAGGCAAUGGAAAGCAUGAAGGAUUGAAUUAAUUUAAGGACCUCUCUAUUGAUGAACUUUGAGAGAGAGCUGAGAAGUCCUGCCAAUGUGAGGCUGAAGAUGGUACAUUAAACUCCAAGGAAGCUACUGGCAAAGUACCUAAGGAAGCAGUUAUAUCAGAGAAUAAAGACGAAGAACUUGGCAAAGGCUGUUAAAGCGAGUGUUCCAACUGAACUGCAG